rnacentral:lncRNA from 1 species
ACUGAAAAAUCGGAUGUUUUCGGCUUCGGGGUAUUGCUGCUCGAGAUCAUAACAGGUUGCAGGAGCAGGAAUCUCUCGGAUGAUUUCCUGAAGGACUACCUGUUGGUCAGUGAAAGGGACGAGAAGGCUGUUGCUCACCUCCACCAAGACGACAAGGAAAGAGAGAGAUUGAAGACCGUGGUAAGUUUGUGUGUCCGAGACGAUCCAGACUUACGGCCCUCGAUGAUGAACGUGGUACCAAUGAUGCAAGGAGUUAUUAAGCUUCCUCAGAUCCCCUCGGAGUCGCAGCUCCAGUUCUUCCUCGCUUACAGAUCCAAACUUCAGCUUAGCAGAAGCACAACCUCGGACGUACCUCAGUACAGUUCUAAUAAGUUGCUGGGUUCGUCAACGUCGUUUGGAUUUCUCUCACAAGAGAGCCUGGGUUGUCGAUAAUUGGAUAGUGCUCAGUACCUAUACAAUGAUAUGUAAGUAAUUCAUACCUUGUGCCCAGUAUAUCCGUUACAGUCCACAAGAGUUGUAUAGCAAUCCUAACUUGAAGAAGGAGCUUGCUUCUUCCCGAUCUGGAAAUUUGCAAAGAAAGUAAGAAAACAAACCUGCAACGACUUGCUCAAGAGCUCGUGCUUCGAAAUCGAGCGAGCCAAAGUAAUCAAGCAAAUGGCUAGCCUGCUUUUGACUCAAGUGACACUCUUCUACUGGAACUCAAGUAUACCUUUGAUCGAACUUCUCCAGUUCAGACACAUCCCAUUGGCUUUCACCACGAACAAAAUUUCCCGCCGUUUCUAAAGCGAUUCCUCUCUCACCACAGCUUUCGCUAAACUGGAAAGAAAAGAAAAAAAAGAGAGGGGGAGUCGAAGGAAAACAAAAUCUGUGAGAAGAUUUCUCGUACCUGAUUCCUACGGAUUUCCUUCAACCUGUUAAAGCAUAUCCACAUAAACUCAAGUCAGUCACAAAGCUCGGCUAUAACCAAGUCUAAACGUAUCUGCAAAGACUUGUUCAAAGCGCGUUGGAACAUCCAAGUAUUUGAGCGCCGGAGCCGCAAGAGAGGUCGAGAACUCCAUGGCUACCAAAGGAGAGCUGUGCUUCAUCUUCUCGUCGAUCUUCAUCCUGGGAUUUUCUCGAGCGGAACUGUACUACAGGAAUUUCACCAGUGAAGUAAAUGGUCCCCUGUAUCCGCUUGAUCCAUCCGGCUUGAGUGGCCGCUACACUGAUUUAUGGUCCAACUACACCGACACGGACAUGAGCUUCCAGGUGUGGAUGCUGAGCUAUGACGCCACAACACCAAGAUCGUUCUUCCUGGCACUGGUUGGAAUUCGCAAUCCAAGUAAGCUCUGGGACCUCACAAAACCGGUCGUUCUGUGGAAGGCCCGUCAGACGAGGCUUGUAGGAGAGAAUGCCACUCUAGCAUUCACCACCGAUGGAGAGCUCAAGCUUGAAGAAGAUGGCGACGUUGUCUGGUCCUCCAACACCACAAACAAAGGCGUCCGGUGGCUUGCCAUAUCCGACAGCGCGACCAUAAUGCUCCUGGAUGAAAGUGAAAGCAAUGUCAUCUGGCAAAGUAGCGACGAAC